AGAGUUUGAUCCUGGCUCAGGAUGAACGCUGGCGGCGUGCUUAACACAUGCAAGUCGAACGAGAACCAUUGGAUCGAGGAUUCGUCCAAGUGAAGGUGGGGAAAGUGGCGGACGGGUGAGUAACGCGUGAGCAAUCUGCCUUGGAGUGGGGAAUAACGGCUGGAAACAGCCGCUAAUACCGCAUGAUACAGCUGGGAGGCAUCUCCCUGGCUGUCAAAGAUUUAUCGCUCUGAGAUGAGCUCGCGUCUGAUUAGCUGGUUGGCGGGGUAACGGCCCACCAAGGCGACGAUCAGUAGCCGGACUGAGAGGUUGGCCGGCCACAUUGGGACUGAGACACGGCCCAGACUCCUACGGGAGGCAGCAGUGGGGAAUAUUGGGCAAUGGGCGCAAGCCUGACCCAGCAACGCCGCGUGAAGGAAGAAGGCUUUCGGGUUGUAAACUUCUUUUCUUGGGGACGAAGAAAGUGACGGUACCCAAGGAAUAAGCCACGGCUAACUACGUGCCAGCAGCCGCGGUAAUACGUAGGUGGCAAGCGUUAUCCGGAUUUAUUGAGUGUAAA
rnacentral:rRNA from 1 species